CAGAACCUGGUUGAUCCUGCCAGUAGUCAUAUGCUUGUCUCAAAGAUUAAGCCAUGCAUGUCUCAGUAUAAACUUCUAUACGGUGAAACUGCGAAUGGCUCAUUAAAACAGUUAUAAUUUAUUUGAUGGUCGCUUACUACAUGGAUAACUGUGGUAAUUCUAGAGCUAAUACAUGCACAAAAACCCGACUUCGCA
rnacentral:rRNA from 1 species